rnacentral:rRNA from 1 species
AGAGUUUGAUCCUGGCUCAGGAUAAACGCUGGCGGCGUGCCUAACACAUGCAAGUCGAACGUCCUCUCUUGUUCGCAAGAAUGAGAGAGGGAGUGGCGGACGGGUGAGGAACACGUGGGGACCUACCUUGGAGUGAGGAAUACCGGCGAGAAAUCGCCGACAAGACCGCAUACGCUUGGGUGACCAAGCAAAGUUCCUUUCGGGGGACGCUUCAAGAUGGACCUGCGCCCGAUUAGCUGGUUGGUGGGGUAAGAGCCUACCAAGGCGACGAUCGGUAGCUGGUCUGAGAGGAUGAUCAGCCACACUGGGAUUGAGAACGGCCCAGACUCCUACGGGGGGCAGCAGUGAGGAAUUUUCCGCAAUGGAGGCAACUCUGACGGAGCAACGCCGCGUGCAGGAGGACGGUUUUCGGAUCGUAAACUGCUUUUCUUGGGGACGAGAACAAGGACGGUACCCAAGGAAGAAGCCCCGGCUAACUACGUGCCAGCAGCCGCGGUAAUAC